GACAGAGGGUGCAAACGUUGUUCGGAUUUACUGGGCGUAAAGCGCGUGUAGGCGGCUUUGCAAGUCGGAUGUGAAAUCCCACGGCUCAACCGUGGAAGUGCAUCCGAAACGGCAUGGCUGGAGUCCCGGAGAGGAAGGUGGAAUGCUUGGUGUAGAGGUGAAAUUCGUAGAUAUCAAGCAGAACACCUGCGGCGAAGGCGGCCUUCUGGACGGUGACUGACGCUGAGACGCGAAAGCGUGGGGAGCAAACAGG
rnacentral:rRNA from 1 species